rnacentral:rRNA from 1 species
UACGUAGGGGGCAAGCGUUGUCCGGAAUCAUUGGGCGUAAAGAGCGUGUAGGCGGUUCGGUAAGUCCGCUGUGAAAGUCCAGGGCUCAACCCUGGAAUGCCGGUGGAAACUGUCGAACUAGAGUCCGGAAGAGGCGAGUGGAAUUCCUGGUGUAGCGGUGAAAUGCGCAGAUAUCAGGAGGAACACCGAUGGCGAAGGCAGGUCUCUGGGCCAUUACUGACACUGAGAAGCGAAAGCAUGGGGAGCGAACAGG